UGGGGGAUAUUGCACAAUGGGCGAAAGCCUGAUGCAGCGACGCCGCGUGGGGGAUGAAGGCUUUCGGGUUGUAAACCUCUUUCGCUAUCGAACAAGGCCCGCUUAGGGUGGGUUGAGGGUAGGUGGAGAAGAAGCGCCGGCUAACUACGUGCCAGCAGCCGCGGUAAUACGUAGGGCGCGAGCGUUGUCCGGAAUUAUUGGGCGUAAAGGGCUUGUAGGCGGAUUGUUGCGCCUGCUGUGAAAACGAGGGGCUUAACUUCGCGCGUGCAGUGGGUACGGGCAGGCUUGAGUGUGGUAGGGGUGACUGGAAUUCCAGGUGUAGCGGUGGAAUGCGCAGAUAUCUGGAGGAACACCGAUGGCGAAGGCAGGUCACUGGGCCAUUACUGACGCUGAGGAGCGAAAGCAUGGGUAGCGAACAGG
rnacentral:rRNA from 1 species